rnacentral:rRNA from 1 species
AGUGAACGCUGGCGGUAGGCCUAACACAUGCAAGUCGAACGGCAGCACAGGAGAGCUUGCUCUCUGGGUGGCGAGUGGCGGACGGGUGAGGAAUACAUCGGAAUCUACUCUGUCGUGGGGGAUAACGUAGGGAAACUUACGCUAAUACCGCAUACGACCUACGGGUGAAAGCAGGGGCUCUUCGGACCUUGCGCGAUUGAACGAGCCGAUGUCGGAUUAGCUAGGUGGCGGGGUAAAGGCCCACCAAGGCGACGAUCCGUAGCUGGUCUGAGAGGAUGAUCAGCCACACUGGAACUGAGACACGGUCCAGACUCCUACGGGAGGCAGCAGUGGGGAAUAUUGGACAAUGGGCGCAAGCCUGAUCCAGCCAUACCGCGUGGGUGAAGAAGGCCUUCGGGUUGUAAAGCCCUUUUGUUGGGAAAGAAAUCCAGCUGGCUAAUACCCGGUUGGGAUGACGGUACCCAAAGAAUAAGCACCGGCUAACUUCGUGCCAGCCGCCGCCGUAA